UACAGAGGGUGCGAGCGUUAAUCGGAAUUACUGGGCGUAAAGCGUGCGUAGACGGUUAUUUAAGUCGGGUGUGAAAGCCCCGGGCUCAACCUGGGAAUUGCAUUCGAGACUGAAUAGCUAGGGUACGGUAGAGGGAAGUGGAAUUUCCGGUGUAGCGGUGAAAUGCGUAGAUAUCGGAAGGAACACCAGUGGCGAAAGCGGCUUCCUGGUCCAGCACCGACGUCAGGCACGAAAGCGUGGGGAGCAAACAGG
rnacentral:rRNA from 1 species